GCUCAGAACGAACGCUGGCGGCAGGCUUAACACAUGCAAGUCGAGCGCCCCGCAAGGGGAGCGGCAGACGGGUGAGUAACGCGUGGGAAUCUACCGUGCCCUACGGAAUAGCUCCGGGAAACUGGAAUUAAUACCGUAUACGCCCUACGGGGGAAAGAUUUAUCGGGGUAUGAUGAGCCCGCGUUGGAUUAGCUAGUUGGUGGGGUAAAGGCCUACCAAGGCGACGAUCCAUAGCUGGUCUGAGAGGAUGAUCAGCCACAUUGGGACUGAGACACGGCCCAAACUCCUACGGGAGGCAGCAGUGGGGAAUAUUGGACAAUGGGCGCAAGCCUGAUCCAGCCAUGCCGCGUGAGUGAUGAAGGUCUUAGGAUUGUAAAGCUCUUUCACCGGUGAAGAUAAUGACGGAACCGGAGAAG
rnacentral:rRNA from 1 species